CAGGGCUUCUUGCAAAAGGACAGUUUGCACAGAGAAUAAUAACAUAUUUAUAUAUCAUAAAUAAAAACUACUUCUACAAUUUUAUACAGGUAUAGGAUUUAGAUUUUAGAGCCAAAGCCACUGCUAUACUUAUUGUCUGCUUCUUUAUGAGUAUUGCCACUAUCCAUAACUCAAAAUAAUAAAGGAUUUCUUCAUAAUAGGAAAUGGGCAGAACAACUCAAUUUUACAAAUUCCUGAAAAACAGAGAUUAUGGUAAAAACAAUGCUGCAUUUUGCUGAGUUUUACCUUGCAGUAUGUAUUUUGACAACCUUUAAAAAUCUGAUGUAAGUAACUGAAACUCAGUCUUUAUCAACAUUUUAGGAAUGUGGUGUAUGGACUCUGUAAAUUCCACCAGCGCCCAUAAAUUCCACAGAGUGGGGUUCCCUACAGAGUGCUUUGCAGCAGACUUGUAUCAGAGAACCGCUAUUUGCUAAAUCUUUUCUAAAUAUAAGUAACUUGAGCAUUUUCUGUUAGCAGUAGUUAAUUUGAAAAAUCUCAUUGUAAUGUGUCUUAAUUAGGAGACACCCAUUUUUUCCCAACUAUAAGCCAUUUUAGAUAUUGAACAAUCCAGGUUUACAGAGCUCUGACAUUAGGCUGAAAUGCAUUUUUCAAAUGAAGCAGAUUUCAUUACUAAAUCAAACAUUCCCACAAACAGAACAGAUAGCAGGAACACUAAUAACACAUUCAUAAGCCUUUCAUUAAAAGCUGACGUAACAAUUAUAACUAAAGUCAUGUGGUUAUUUAAAAAUACUUUUAUUUUCAGAGUAUAAAUAUUUUUUUCAGUGAAAUUAUAAUCAAUUAUCUCAGAAAAUUGUUGUCAAGCUGAUUUUCUUGUAGAAGUGAUAGAGAUUUCUGCAGUAUUUAUAUACUCCUAUACAUGAUAAAUGGUGUCAGUGCUGUCUUUUUUAUUAGCAUGUCUUUCCUACAGUAUUUAUGACAUUAGAGGAUUAAUAGUAUUGGCUGCAGUCAAGUCGAGUGCAGGGAGCACCUAUGUAUUUUAGUAGUUUAAAAUUAUUAACUAUUGCAUUUUAGGACAGACUCUUAGGCUAACAACUGAGUUUGCAUUUUCAAGUAUAUCCUUAAAAGAUUUUUUUCCAUUUGUGCCUACUAGUAAAGACUUCUGAUGGAAUUGUGUAUGUGUACUUCUUUGUUUUGCUGAAUAAGUGGUUAUCACAAUUAAUUCAAGCUAGUGAAGAUUUUGCCAGAAAAUUUAAAUCCAAUAAUUGAAAGGCCUUACAGAAAACUAUAACCACAUUGUUUUCUGUCAGUAACCACUAGUGAUUCAUGUAGGUCAUUGUUUAAGGUGGCUGCACUGAAAAUGUGCUUUUUACAUUAUUCAUUCUAGUCAAGCAGUUGCUCAUGGAUAAAUCUUAUGCUACAGGUAAAAAUCCAUUCUACGAUAGGGAGUAAGAGUGACAUUAAUAAUGGUGUGUAUGAAGAGUGUAAAUAUUGAGUGAAAAAGUAUCUUUGUAUAAUUGAAAUAUGAAAUCAAUUAUUUGUUGUGCAAAGUAUGAAAUAACACCUACAAGCAAUACUGCUGAACAUAAGUUUUAAGGACAAAAUAUAGUUUUCCUAGAGGAUUUCUGCAUUAUGCUACUCAUUUGACAAUGUUCUGCAGUUCAAAGCAAGCACCUGAGAUGUGUCUCUGGGAUUACAUCACAACAACUGUUUAUUUGGUCCAGCUACUGGAAUAAUGCAAAAAUAAUUUUCCAGUUAUCAGGCAACGUGUUUUUUUAUAAGAAAGUCAAGCAAUCUCCUUUCCUGAGAGCACAGCCCAGCACAGGCAGUGUUGGUGUGGAGGGAUGUACAGACACCCAGCCUUGGGACGCCGCUCUCACACGCAGUCUCAUUACAGUGCCAGCUCCCGCUGCAGCAAAGGAGCCUGCUUCAAUGAGGAAUUAAGUGUAGGAUUUAUGGUUAAUUUGUUGUGUCCUCUCCUCCUAAACCAACAGGAGUAUUCCAGAGUAAUGAGUACAAAGAAAUUGCCAGUAGUAAUACCUAGAAGGUCAUCAUCCUUAUUUAUUCAGUGUGUUAAUCCAGCUAUCAGAGUCUGUGUUCCAGAGAGAGCCUCCUCUGAGACAGGCACCAGCCAUUUUCAUCAACUAGCAUUUACAGUCUCCAAUGUUUAAUCACUCUGCAUUUAAUAGGAGAGAGGCCCUUCAUGUUCUGCACAGUUGUACGAAUUUGGAUUUUAGUUUUAUGAAUAUAGGAAAAAUGUUUCACUUUGGUAAAUAAUUAGGCAUGAAAAGGUUGGCAUGGAUAAUUCCUUCACUUUUGUACUGGUUUCACAUACUUUAGACUUACUAAUUCUCCAGAUUCUGCAAGAAUCACAGCCAAAAUCUCUCGAGUUUCAUGUUUUUGCCUGUCACCAGUACUAUUUGCUGUGUUUAAAUGCAACCAAAAUCAGCUUAGGCACACUGAAUGUGUUAAAGGGAAUUUGGUCUGGAUUUCCAGUUGAUUUAAAAGCAAAACAACCUAUUCAAAUCAAGACUCUUUUCAUAGAUUGAGAUUUGGUUUUUUAUUCCCACUGAUCUAUGUGACACUUGUAAUUUAUAAAAGUGAUUUUUAGGGUGAAAUAUAGAAAUAGGGACUAAGAAUAAAAUGUUCUGUCAAAAGAAUAUUUUCCCAUAUUUGAUUAGAUGCAAAAUGGUCUCACAAAUCUACUUAUUUGAAGGCAUGCUAAAUUUAUGAUUGUGUAGAUCAGUUUCUGAUUUCAAAGCCUUGUAGAGAUGUCAGGUAAUAGAAACACAUGUUUCUGAUGGGUUUUUUAUUACUUAUACCACAGGAAUUUUUACAACACAGUAUUUAGUAUAUACUUUUAUACUGUAUAAAGUUUUACCAAUAUGAUAAUAAUGACAUAAAAAUCUUAAUGCCAGUAAUUUUAGAGACAAUUACUGACUGUUUAGUCAUUUAGACUUUAUCUUUGAUCAUGUUACUUCCUGUGAGUUAAAUGUCUAUUUGCUUUAUUUUUUAUGUGAUAUUAGCCUUGUCUGGUUCAAUUUAAAAUGUAUUUAUAUGAGAAAAUUAUUUCUAAUGAUAAAUGCAUUAUGUUUUCUAUAUUCAUGCUCAAUUUUAUUUUAUCAUUUAGAGUAUCUGUAGGCUGCAGGAAUAGAUUUUGCAGUUUAUAAAGUGGUGUCAUAAAUAGAAUAGGCAGCCACAAUGAUACAAUAUUAGAAUACUCCUUUUUUUCAGGAUUUCUUCUGAUCUUGUAUGUAAGAAAAAUAAUAUGCUGACUUUUCAUUUUUUAAUCCUCUAAAGAACAUAGUGGCUUUAAGGAUAAUUAAUCCCUCUUUAUUUUGGGUGUCUAAAAUCUAGGCACCAUGAUGAACAAGAGGUUCUGUCAAAGAGUUAUUCACCCUCUCAUAUGACAAGCAUCUAAGGUAGGUAGGACUCAGAGAGGAAUUUGCUGAGUUUUGAGGGAUUUUACUCUGAAUCUGGAUUUACCUACAAAACCAGACACCAUCUUUAAGAGGGUUAAGCUGUUAAGUCACCCUACAAACAUUAAAAUGUGGGUUUUAUAGAAAAAGGGUAUUUCCUUUGCAUCUACUAAAGCAAACCAUAAGUGUAGGUAUACACAUAGGUAUAUAUAACUAAAUAGGUACUGGUUAGGUCUUGCUCCUUAAAUGAUCAUUUGUUGCCAUGAGGAAGAACCAGGUACAAUACAUUACCUGCAUUCUGAAAUGUUUGUUUAUUAUUUUAAUCACUUACCUUUAGACUUUGGCUAACAAUCUAAAUGGUUGUAAAUCUAAAAAUUAAGUAGAAACAGAUAUUUCAUUUAUAGGAGUACAAAUAAUGUACUUUCCAUAUUAUCAAAAAUCACUUAAUAAAGAUUUAUUAAAUUUUUAAAAAUUUGUUAUUUCACUAAGAACUAAACUAGUCAUGCUCUUAGGAAUUCUUUCUAAUACUCUCCUCGGUUUAUAUUCCUCUGUAAAGAACUUACCAUUCAUCUCUGUAGGAACUUUUUUCCACAGAGGAGGACUAUGUUCUUUCAGUUCCAUUCAUCUUAACAUUCCAUUUGCUGCUUUACUAGGAUGUCCUGGUUUAGAGCACAUAGGAUUAACAAAGCGUUCCAAGUAUUGUAAAAGGAAAGUAAUACAUUCACAAAAAUUCUCAUUAAAGUCCUUAUCUGCAAGUUACAAAAGACUGCACUUUUAAUGAUUAAAAACCACAUACUGAGGCAGCACAUACUUAGAGAAUUAUUCUGACAGUACUUGGGUUGCAUGGAUUUGGGAAGAUCCUCUCUUUCCUACCCCAUUCUUGUGUCUUGGAGCUCUUACUCCAGUAAUAAAGACUGAAUUAUUACUCAGGAACAUAAUAUGCAUUUAGCAAUGCCUAACUAACACAUCUCUUACCAAAACAAUUUCAAUAUGGAAAUGUACAGUUUUGAAUGUAGAGGAUCAAAUUAUAUUUGGGGUUGUACAAGGUGAUUAAGGCUACAAGUACAACUAAACAGCACCUUUGCAUCAAAGGCGCUAUUUAUUUCUUGCAAUUUAUAUAUUGCAAGAUUUAUAUCUGUACUAGGUGCAUUAUCUGAGCAGAGAUAAACACAGAGUUUGUUGGGAUGAAUUCCUGUGCAGUGCUCCUGGUAUACCACCUCAGAGCCAUUACUUCAGAACAGUUUCUCCACCUCCAAAUAAACAUAAUUCCCUACAACACAUUCUGAAAUGAGGAGUUUCAGAAUCAGGGCCUGCUCCCAAUAUCCAUCCUCCAAAAAAAAAAAGUUACCACUGACCUAUUGUUUGAAAUGGUCCUUGAAGUGCAUUUGUAGAUUAAUUUUGCAAUGAUGUGUGAGACCCAAUCUAACCUAAUAGAACCUGAUUUAAAAAGUAAGAAAAAAUCUGCUUUAGGCAGGAAAAUGAGUCUAAAGUGCUAUAUAAGUGAUCUUUUAUGAUAUAUGAGCUUUAUCCUACCCUAAACAUUAAAUCUGUCAGACCCAAUAUAAGACAAAUGUUACCAAAUAAUAUUCUCUUCCAUUUAAUCUUCAUUUUAUUAGCUCCUGGCAGCACAGACUAAGCAAAAUACUCUUAAACCUCAGAAGACAAAUGCUAUCUGUCUGUUUUCUGUGCUUGACAUAUGUGAUCUAUUCAUCUUAGGAAAUACCCUCAGCUGAGUUGUUGGUGCAAAAUUGAAAGACAGUUGAUUCUUUAAGCAGUGUGAUGCUCCUGUAAGAAGCCAGUCAGUUCAUUUGGGACAUCUCUUCUUGUUCCUGCAUUCUCACAGGUUACUACUUAUGAUACAGGCCUGCAUAAAUUCCCAUAAUGAUCCAUUGGUAUCCUGCUUGCUUCAUACCACAGUCAGGGUACAGUAAUUUCGUAAGGUUUUACAUGCUGAUUAUCACAAUACAGACAUUGACAAAACAGAUAUUUGCUGAUUGUCACAACACAAAGGUCUGCUGCUGUUAAAUAACACACACUUUGGAGGAAUUUCAUGGUACUGCAAGAAGCUUUUAACGUCACAAAAGAUAAAUUGAAAUGUGCAUCUUACAGACCAUCUUCCCAGACUGCUCACAUUCUGAAUCUCAGAACAGCUCUUAGCACCAGUUGCUUAAUAGUGGAACUGUCUCCUGUAUCAAGAGACCUUUAAUUUUAGUGUCCUGUUUUAUGAAGGCCAUAUCCCUCACCUGAAUAUACAUGUACAUGUCACUGUCUGGUCUGUUGUCUAAAUUUUAAUAUUCUAGAUUGGAGAAUCAGAAGAAGCCAGAGUAAGCAAUUAAACAUGUGAAUUUCAUAAAUAACUGAGUGAAAAAUAAUUUAUAAAAUUAUUAAACUUAUUAGUUAAUUGAUAAUAUCUAACAUGCCAAUAGCAAUAUUUCACUGUUAUCAGCCUCAGAGUAGUUCAAUUUCAAAAAUAGUUGAUUAAUAUUAAUAGGUGAAUAAAUAUGUUACCAAGAAAAUAUUUUCAAGAAAGCUAAGCAUCUGCACAUAAACAAUUUCUGCCCUGUAGCAGAAUGUGAUUCAGUGUCUAAGAAUACAGAGGAAAAAAAGCUCUUUCUUCUUCAAAACAGACAGGAGUGUGUUUACUUUCACCAAAUAUCCACAUGUGUGACAAUCUUGUGGAGCAUUCAGUUGCUGUAAAACUUUUUAUUCUUUUCCAUAAACAUCCUGCACAUGCAUCUCCUGUGACUGUGCCCUCAGUAAAGCAGGAAGUCUUGAAAGGCUGUCAGUGUGUUCAGUCGUAAGCUCCCAGUGGGAAGCCAAGGCAAAGGACAAAAUUCUUAUACAGUGGGCAAAGGUACCUACAUUCCACAGUGCCAAACAACCAUAAAAUCCAGAAGUUCCUAGUCCUUACCCUUGCCCUACUUCAGGCAUCUGGGAAUCAUUGAAAUCUUACAAAUAACUGAAGAUAUUACCUGACUGAUCACUGAUCACAUCUUCCUAAAGUGUACAUUUGAUCUUAUCCUAAUUUUCUUGUCCCUUUUACCCCAUAUUGUGAGGCAGGAUAUUAAAAUAACUUCUUAUGCCUUUGACAUAGUGCAAGAACAAUUGCUAGACAAAAUGUCAGAAUUUUCUUCUAAAUGUGUUAUUAUUAUUUCUCUAGAACUAUAAAAAUUGUCAUAUCAGAAAUGUCAAUGGUGCCUUAAAGUCUGAGUAGGGGAAAGGGACUAUAGAAUAGUAUGGUUACUUUUUUAGGGGGAAAAAAAUUAAAAAUUUUCUAAAAUAAUUCUUCAAUAAAAUAAAUUAUACAAAAAAGUCAAUAUAGUGUAGGAUAUAGAUCUCUUCCUGCGAACUAGGAAGGCAUUUUUGCUUAUGUUUUUAUAAUCUGUGAUUAAUAUACCCACAUCCAGGUUUUGUCAGUAAACUCUGAUCCUACAUCGCUGCUUUGUCUCUUUGUUUCUCCUUGUUUAUAUUAUACUGCAUUACCUUACAUGAAGGAAACUAAAAGUGACAUUUGGGAUGUAUGGUAGGAUUUUUAAUAUUUGUUUGAAAUCUUAGUUCAAAUACAGAUUUGGUGACAAUAUCAAGAGUCAAACAUUAUCAAUUUGUUGUAAGGCAUGUAGGCCUACUUCAGAAAAAUAAUCAGGCAAGAAUUUAAUUAGGCAAGUGCUAAAUCAAAUGACACUUAAAUACACUGUAUGUAGUUUUCAAUAACUACAACAGACAAAAACAUGGAGACAAGAUCUCAACAUCUACAGUUAGUGUGAAAAGAACUAAGCAGAAGUGACUAAGUCACUAAACCAAAAUCUGCCUGUUGUGCCACGACUUUAACAAGUUCCUUAUGAGUGUAGAAUUCAGACUGCUACAAUCUGUACCACCUGAAAAUACAGACCCACAGAGCAGUGGUGUAAGUCUACAAAGGAGGCAGACAUAUUGAGUAAUUUACUACAGACAGAGAGAAAAAUUGUCUGUAGCAAUGAAAGCUUCAGUCACUAAAAAUAGAAACCUUUUAUUCAGCAGAACUGUUUUUGGCAUUGACCAGUUAUUUUUCAUUUUUCAGCAGCACAUCAGAACUUUCUACCAUGUUUAUCUCUUGCUCAAAUGAACUAAUAAACUCCUGAUACAACUCUUAAUACCCCUUAUCAACUUGUCACGCACGGCAGUGUUUGCUAACUUACAACAAGAAAAUGUUUAUCUUUUUGCUACAGUCAAAGCAAGCAGCAGAACUGAAAGUUGAUGUAAGAAGCAGCUGGCAAGUGCCCUGAAGUCUAGAACUUAGCUUUACUCCUCUAGUUUUUUGUUCCCAUGCCUUUUCUCAGCCUAAAUUUUUCUGUAUUUCUCAUUAUAAAGAUUGGCAAUAAUUAUUUACAGCCUAAAAGUUACUUCAAAAUCAGAUCUGGAAGACUGCAGGCUCCAGGAGAACCUGCCACCUAGCAGGAAUAAACUCAGCCUGGGAGAUCCCUGGCCAUGUCUCCCUUCAUAGGAGGAGCCAUAGGCCAUGACUGCAUUCCCAAUGGACUGUGCCUUCCUCAGAAGCCUCUGUAAGAGGUACAGCCACACAAAGACCUUUUGAGUUGAGAAAGCAUAGAAUACUUGGCAACCCACAAUGUCUUCUUCAGGUUUUAACAUAAUUUCGUUUUGAGACUGUAUAAAAACAUGAUUUGAAUAUUUUGGUGCAUUUAAUUUAAAUAAAUAGAUCUAUGCAUUUGAUAAAUGGCCUGAUGUGUGUUUCCAAAAGCAGUAAAUAUUCUAAGUGAGGGUCACUUACAGCACUUACAGAAGUCAUUCAAGUUAGCUUGCAAAACAUCUGUCAUAUUUUCAGAGACAUAAAUGCUAAAUUCUUAUGUAAAAAACAAGUUAGUUGUACCAAAAAAAUGAAGCUCUCAUUCUUAAGCCAAAACAGAUCUCUCUUCUUAAUCCAAUGCAGUUAUCAGCAUGUCCCUUGGAUUUAUGACUUAUGACAUUUAUUUACCAACAGGUGGUUGCGUAUCUUGCCAUUUAUAUUUUAAGCAACAGUAAACACAACUAAAAAUAAUAUAAGACAAACAAAAUAAAACUCAGUGGUGUUUUUUAAAGUGUUUUUAGAGAAAAGCUGUAUUUAUAAGCUAGGUCUUCAAGUAGUUCUCACCAGGCCCAGCAAUACAGAAGAAUACUGCAAGAGCAAUAAGGAUUUUUAGGGGCAUUAUGAUAGUGUAAUGGAAACACAUCUGCCCCCAAAAGUCCCUCAUUUUCCCUGCGGUUAAAAGCCAUGCAGGAAGUGGUGAAUGCUGUGGAACAUCAAGAAUGAAACUAUAAAGAAAAGAUUUUUAAGUUAGAACAACCUUCCAACAACAUCUCAGGAUUUCAUAAUUUUCUGUUAGUCCACUGGAUAGAAAAACUGUAGUUUUUCAAGAAUCCUCUAAUUUAUUAGCUCUGGAUGUAUAAAAUAGUUCUGUCCAUGCAAUUAAGUGAAUUUUGAGGCAGCUACAUUAGAA